rnacentral:rRNA from 1 species
CUAUACAUGACUCUGCGCAUAUCAAUAAGCGGAGGAAAAGAAACUAACAAGGAUUCCCUUAGUAACGGCGAGUGAAGCGGGAAGAGCUCAAAUUUGAAAUCUUCAAGGGUUUACCUUUACGAAUUGUAGUUUAAAGAAGUGUUUUCUGCUGAAGUUUUGGUAAAAGUUCUUUGGAAUAGGACAUCAUAGAGGGUGAGAAUCCCGUAUUUGACCAUUAUUUUCAGCUUUGUGAUACACUUUCAGAGAGUCGGAUUGUUUGGGAAUGCAGUCCAAAAUGGGUGGUAAAUUUCAUCUAAAGCUAAAUAUUGGCGAGAGACCGAUAGCGAACAAGUACCGUGAGGGAAAGAUGAAAAGAACUUCGAAAAGAGAGUUAAACAGUACGUGAAAUUGUCAAAAGGGAAGCGUUUGACACCAGUGUUGUUUUCUCGAAAAUCAAUUAAAAAUGGCUCGAUUUUGUAUUGCUUGAGACCUUAAAAGCUCACUGUACAUUUUUCGUGUCUUUUUUAAUGCACUUUUCGUUUAACAAGUCAACAUCAGUUUCUUUUGUUGUAAAAGGGUCAUUGGAAGGUGGCUUUCUUUUCGGAGAAAGUGUUUAUAGCCUUUGGCCUCUGCAAUCGGAGAGACUGAGGUCUGCAGCGUAGACUCUUCGGGGUUAGAUACAUUUGUGCUAAGUUAUAGCUUUUUAUAGACAACUUGUUGACUAUAAUUAGUCUUGUAGCUUACUCGCUUAUGCUAUUUUACCUACGCUUAGGAUGUUGACAGCAGUAUAGACUGU